rnacentral:tRNA from 1 species
GGGGCCGUAGCUCAACUGGGAGAGCGCCGGCUUUGCAAGCCGGAGGUUGCCGGUUCGAGCCCGGUCGGCUCCA